rnacentral:misc_RNA from 1 species
GAUGAAGAACGUAGCGAAAUGCGAUACUUGGUGUGAAUUGCAGAAUCCCGUGAACCAUCGAGUCUUUGAACGCAAGUUGCGCCCGAAGCCAUUAGGCCGAGGGCACGCCUGCCUGGGCGUCACACGUCGUUGCCCCCCCAUCUACUCCUUCGGGAUUGCGGGGGGCGGAUGAUGGCCUCCCGUGCGCCUCGUCGCGCGGUUGGCAUAAAUACCAAGUCCUCGGCGACGCACGCCACGACAAUCGGUGGUUGCGAAACCUCGGUUGCCCGUCGUGUGCGGUCGUCGCGCAUCGAGGGCUCGAAAAAAUUGCCGGGCUCCGGCUCGUCUUUCAACGCGACCCCAGGUCAGGCGGGGUUACCCGCUGAAUUUAAGCAUAUCAAUAAGCGGAGGA